UACGGAGGGGGCUAGCGUUGUUCGGAAUUACUGGGCGUAAAGGGCGCGUAGGCGGUUUGUUAAGCCUAUUGUUAAAGACUGGGGCUCAACCCCGGAACUGCCCUUGAUACUGGUAGUCUGGAGUUCUGGAGAGGUGAGUGGAAUUCCGAGUGUAGAGGUGAAAUUCGUAGAUAUUCGGAGGAACACCAGUGGCGAAGGCGGCUCACUGGCCAGAUACUGACGCUGAGGUGCGAAAGUGUGGGGAGCAAACAGG
rnacentral:misc_RNA from 1 species